AUACGGAGGAUGCGAGCGUUAUCCGGAUUUAUUGGGUUUAAAGGGAGCGUAGGUGGGAUAUUAAGUCAGCUGUGAAAGUUUGGGGCUCAACCUUAAGAUUGCAGUUGAUACUGGUUUCCUUGAGUACGGUACAGGUGGGCGGAAUUCGUGGUGUAGCGGUGAAAUGCUUAGAUAUCACGAAGAACUCCGAUCGCGAAGGCAGCUCACCGGGCCGGAACUGACACUGAUGCUCGAAAGUGCGGGUAUCAAACAGGAUAGAUACCCUGGUAGUCCGCACAGUAAACGAUGAAUACUCGCUGUUUGCGAUACACUGUAAGCGGCCAAGCGAAAGCGUUAAGUAUUCCACCUGGGGAGUACGCCGGCAACGGUGAAACUUAAAGGAAUUGACGGGG
rnacentral:rRNA from 1 species